AGGGAAUCUUCCGCAAUGGACGAAAGUCUGACGGAGCAACGCCGCGUGAGUGAUGAAGGUCUUCGGAUUGUAAAGCUCUGUCUUCUGGGACGAUAAUGACGGUACCAGAGGAGGAAGCCACGGCUAACUACGUGCCAGCAGCCGCGGUAAUACGUAGGGGGCAAGCGUUGUCCGGAAUUAUUGGGCGUAAAGCGCGCGCAGGCGGCUGUUUAAGUCUGGUGUAUAAUCCUGGGGCUCAACUCCGGGUCGCACUGGAAACUGGACGGCUUGAGUGCAGAAGAGGAGAGUGGAAUUCCACGUGUAGCGGUGAAAUGCGUAGAGAUGUGGAGGAACACCAGUGGCGAAGGCGACUCUCUGGGCUGUAACUGACGCUGAGGCGCGAAAGCGUGGGGAGCAAAC
rnacentral:rRNA from 1 species